UGAUAAAUACUUAUGCAGGCAUGGAA
rnacentral:sRNA from 1 species